UUAACAACUGCCCACCAUUGAGGAAGUCAGAAAUAGAGUACUAUGCCAUGUUGGCAAAGGUUGGAGUACAUCAUUACAAUGGGAACAAUGUCGACUUGGGCACUGCAUGUGGAAAAUAUUACAGAGUGUGCUGCCUCAGCAUUAUUGAUCCUGGUGAUUCUGAUAUCAUUAAGACGCUGCCUGGCGAACAGUAAAAGUAGAGUCGAAGUUUUUUUUGCUUGCGAUGUUCUGUUUUCAGUUGGUUCAGACAAUGUUAUAUGAAAAAUUUUUAUUUAGUUUUAAGCUAUUUUGUACGAGUUGCAUUGCUUUUGGGAUUCUACAUUCUAGCAGAUACGCAUCUGAGUAAUUUUACCAUCAAAUUUUUUAGAUAUA